AAUAGAUACCCCCGGUAGUCCACGCCCUAAACGAUGUCAACUAGUUGUCGGGUCUUAAUUGACUUGGUAACGCAGCUAACGCGUGAAGUUGACCGCCUGGGGAGUACGGUCGCAAGAUUAAAAACUCAAAGGAAUUGGCGGGGGACCCGCACAAGCGGUGGAUGAUGUGGAUUAAUUCGAUGCAACGCGAAAAACCUUACCUACCCUUGACAUGGUCGGAACCCUGGAGAGAUCUGGGGGUGCUCGAAAGAGAACCGGCGCACAGGUGCUGCAUGGCUGUCGUCAGCUCGUGUCGUGAGAUGUUGGGUUAAGUCCCGCAACGAGCGCAACCCUUGUCAUUAGUUGCUACGAAAGGGCACUCUAAUGAGACUGCCGGUGACAAACCGGAGGAAGGUGGGGAUGACGUCAAGUCCUCAUGGCCCUUAUGGGUAGGGCUUCACACGUCAUACAAUGGUACAUACAGAGGGCUGCCAACCCGGCGAGGGGGAGCUAAUCCCAGAAAGUGUAUCGUAGCCCGGAUUGCAGUCUGCAA
rnacentral:rRNA from 1 species